rnacentral:rRNA from 1 species
CUUGGUGAUUAUAGCGGUUAAAAACACGAGAUAACAUUUCGAACUCUGACGUUAAGUUCUCCAGCGCCGAUGGUACUGCUUUGUGGGAGAGUAGGUCGUUGCCAAGC